rnacentral:rRNA from 1 species
UACGUAGGGUGCGAGCGUUAAUCGGAAUUACUGGGCGUAAAGCGUGCGCAGGCGGUGAUGUAAGACAGAUGUGAAAUCCCCGGGCUCAACCUGGGACCUGCAUUUGUGACUGCAUCGCUAGAGUACGGCAGAGGGGAUGGAAUUCCGCGUGUAGCAGUGAAAUGCGUAGAUAUGCGGAGGAACACCGAUGGCGAAGGCAAUCCCCUGGGCCUGUACUGAC